rnacentral:rRNA from 1 species
UACGGAGGGUGCGAGCGUUAAUCGGAAUUACUGGGCGUAAAGCGUUCGCAGGCGGUCUGUCACGUCAGAUGUGAAAACCCCGGGCUUAACCUGGGAACUGCAUUUGUGACUGGCAGGCUAGAGUAUGGCAGAGGGGGGUAGAAUUCCACGUGUAGCAGUGAAAUGCGUAGAGAUGUGGAGGAAUACCGAUGGCGAAGGCAGCCCCCUGGGCCAAUACUGACGCUCAUGCACGAAAGCGUGGGGAGCAAACAGG